UUUUCUCUUCAGACCAGACGAGCAAGGCUAAUAAAACGAAUCGAUCAUCUUCACUCCAGAACAACGAUGGAAAAAUCCGAUAAAAUUUUUGCUUUGUUGGGUAUCUUAUUCAUCUCUUCUCUCUUGAUUGAUCAGACAACUUGUUUUGUAACCAGGCCCCAAAGGAGGGAGUUUCAGAUGAAACGUGCAACAAGGGAGAUUUGUGCUGGAGCCAGAUCGUUGAACUGCGAGGGGGUGGCAAAGAGAGAAUUUCGUGAUUAUGAUGAAAGCACAGAGUGACACGGAUCAAUGACGCGCUGCGAUAAGGAGAACCGACUUGAACCGUGUAACAACAAGAAAUUAAUAGGAUUAGUGUCCGCUUCGUUUUUGCAAAGAACAACGUCGAUAAAUUUAAAUCUAUUAAUCAUGUAAUUUAAAACGCAAUAAAUAUCUGGUAAAUGA